rnacentral:misc_RNA from 1 species
GAAACGCGAUAGUUAAUGUGAAUUGCUGAAUUCAGUGAAUCAUCGAGUCUUUGAACGCACAUUGCGCCCAUAGGUAUUCCUUUGGGCAUGUCUGUUUGAGCGUCAUUACAACCCUCAGCUAACCGCUGGUUUUGAACCUGAACGGGUGACACCGCGCCGGUUUUAAAGUUGUAAGCUCUGCUGGCCGCUCUGCCCAACCAGAACAUAGUAAGCACUACUUGUCCGGGUGAAGCUGAACGGUACGGCCUGAACAAAACCUACCCACUCUCAAGGUUUGACCUCAGAUCAGACAAGGAUACCCGCUGAACUUAAGC